rnacentral:rRNA from 1 species
UACGUAGGGUGCAAGCGUUUGUCCGGAAUUAUUGGGCGUAAAGAGCUCGUAGGCGGUCUGUCGCGUCGGCUGUGAAAUCCCGAGGCUCAACCUCGGGUCUGCAGUCGAUACGGGCAAACUAGAGUAUUGCAGGGGAGACUGGAAUUCCUGGUGUAGCGGUGAAAUGCGCAGAUAUCAGGAGGAACACCGGUGGCGAAGGCGGGUCUCUGGGCAAUAACUGACGCUGAGGAGCGAAAGCAUGGGGAGCGAACAGG